CGGACUUGCCCUGGGACGACCUACCCUGCAGCGAGUUACCCUGUAACGAGUUGCCCUGUAGAGACCUGCCCUGUAGCCUGCCCGCCGGCGGCCAACUUAAACUCUGUUUUAUUGUGGCAUUUUUGAGGAUUAUUCUAAAAUAAUUAAAACUUUCAACAACGGAUCUCUUGGUUCUGGCAUCGAUGAAGAACGCAGCGAAAUGCGAUAAGUAAUGUGAAUUGCAGAAUUCAGUGAAUCAUCGAAUCUUUGAACGCACAUUGCGCCCAUUAGUAUUCCAGUGGGCAUGCCUGUUCGAGCGUCAUUUCAACCAUCAAGCCUAGUUUGGUAUUGGGUGGGUGACUUGUAGGCCCGCCGCGCAUCAUCUCAAAAUAGAUGGGAGGACUCGUGGGGAGGCUCAGAGUAGUACAUAUUCUCGCCCUAGGCAUCGGCGGGUGGGCUUAGCCGAUGCUUCUUUUAACCACAUUGACCUCGGAUCAGGUAGGGAUACCCGCUGAA
rnacentral:rRNA from 1 species